CGUGGGGGGCCCACCAGGCUGCUUGCAGAGCUCCAGGGGUGUGGGGAGAAUGGGGGUGGAAAGGACGGGCUGAGGGCCAAGGAGAGGUGGCUGAGAAAGGGGUAACUCGCCUACUCUCCUGCUCUCCUUCUCUCUUUCCUUGCAAUGUGUGAGAGUGAAAGCAAGGGAUGUGCAGGGCAAAAACUCAGAGAGCUCUGUGCCUUUCCUACUAUUCAUUCCACAGAAGGAAUACAAUGCCAGAGAAAGGAGAGGUGCUUCCCCAACUCCCUGCACCUGGGAAGACAGGGAUGCCUUUAAAAGGCUAGGUUUGUGCUAAGAAUAAAGAGAGACCAUAGCAAUACUCUGAGUCUAGCUUUCUUGAGAAGAGGAAAAAAAUAAAUUAAGAAGGCAAAAUAUGCUCCACAACCUGCAGGAUUGAAGGAGCAAUGUUUGGAGGAAGCGAAAGAAGGGAGAGGACACAGAGCAGCCAGGCAGGGCCAGGAGCUAAGAGGGGCCCAGACCUGAGGCCUCCCAACAACUCUCUUCUUGGAAGGAUCUGGAGUGUUGCUGAAGGAAAAUAAAAGAUAUAUAAAAAGAUAACCUUUUGCUUUUCCCUCUCCAGGAAAUAGCCAAAGGUAUUUACAUAUUUUGGGGGAGAUUUAGAGUAUAAACUCUAAGAUCUUUGGUAUAUAAGUGUCAUCAUCGAUUUAUUUAUUUAUUGCUGAGCUGACUGUAACUGACUCAAUAACAAAUCUAAUCAUGUAUUGCACUGGAAAAGAAAUAUUCUCAUUAUGUAUUUUCUCCAAAUAAUGGCCUACCAUUGCAUUUGAAUACCUGCUGUAAAUAUCAGUAAUAUCGAGUAAUUACUCUGUAGUCGAGUAAACUAAUUUACUAGCAUUAAUGUUUCUGUGGCUUUCCACCUCCCCCCACCACCACCUUUACAAGGAUUGCUUAUCACAAAUCAAGCUACUUGGACACAUUGGUUUAAUGAACUCUUUAUUCAAGAUUUGCUACAAGAACUUUCAUGUCCCUUGAAUCCCUGAGAACUGAAUUUGAAAUUAUUUGUGCAUCUUCAGCUUGACAUAUUUGUCCACUGUGGCUUGUCCAGAGGGCAGCAGUGCUGUGAGUGAGAAGUUCCAAUGGGAAGGAAGGUUAUUGGAGAAGAGUAGCUUCAGACCUCCUAAAGCUGGGAUGCACAUUUACAGAAUUGCCCUGCGGCGAAAAAACUUCUAUUUCCAGCAGUGACCAACAAGGCUAAAUAUUUGUUUCUCCACAGCAUAUCUUUUUUAGAGACAGAAUAUAAAAGACAGAAGGAGAGGUUUCAAACAAAGGUAUUCCAGCUGUUCCCUGGCUUGAUUUUGGCUAUCCCAAACUCUCUCUCUGCAGCCCACCCAGUCCUCACCACCCCUACCUUCGAACAAAAGGAAUGCAUGAAGGGUUUCAGUGACUUUGCCAUAACAAAGGCGCCACCAUUGCGGGGCUCGCCCCGCCCCUGGGUGAAGGCAAACAAAUUCUUGCACUUGUAUUAGGGCUUUUAAGACCAUAAUUGAACCCGGGGGCGUCUAGGAAAACCGAAAACAGUUCUAGACAGACCUGCGGUUUUAUAGCAGUUUUGGCAGUCAACUUCAGCUUGUGCCUGAACAGACGGGGCUGUGGUGGCCCGCCAGCGGGGGAUGCCAGGCCACCUCCCCCAGCGGCACGCAGCCCCUCUCUUAAUUAGAUCGGUUUUCCCCUGGUGUCAGGGAGAGCGGUCCCGGCAGAAAGGAGGUCCAACAGCCGAGCGUAACCCACUGGGCUCUGGGAAAGACCCGACUGAGGCUAAAGCCGCCCCAGAAGGCCAAGUCCGAGUUCCAUUUCUUGAAGAGGCCGGCGCGGGUAAGGCUGUGACAUUGGCCCUGGCGACUGGCUUCCCAGGAGCUGUUCUUUCUCAGGAGCUCCAGACCUCGCGCCAUCUCCAGAAAACUGUUCAGGGUGUAUUUCCUUUUAUCGUCAACCCAGAGCCCCACCGCGGCUAAUGCAAGAGGCCAAAAAAUGUUUGGAGGAAGAAAAACAAAGGCAGGAAGUGGCGGCGGCCUGACGGUGCGUGUGUGUCUGCAGAGAAGGGAGGGAGCCCGGUUCAGUCUCUUCUUGUUUUUCCAAAUUUCAAGGUCCAGGCAGCCCUCUGCAAGGCCGGGCCCCGUCGCUCCCCGCACGGCAUUUGGAGGUGGCCACCCGGAGAGGAGAAGGCCGACGCCCGCGCCAGGCUUGUCAGGCGGAAACGGCUAACAAGGAGAUUUGGUCAGCAAAACAGACCGAGCCUUUCCGAGGCUUCGUCUGAUUUGGCCCGAAAGGUUGGGGAGGGGGGGCUUGCACAGCGCCUCCGGGGCCCUCCUCUCUGGGGACGACCAUCCCUGAGCCUUACGCUUCGUUCCACCGCCUUUGCAGGCGGACUAUCGGAAUAAAGUGGGUCCAGGCGCC